rnacentral:rRNA from 1 species
UACAGGAUUCCCCUAGUACGGCGAGUGAAGCGGGAAGAGCUCAAAUUUGAAAUCUGGCAGUCUUCGAUUGUCCGAGUUGUAAUCUAUAGAGGCGUUUUCCGUGCCGGACCGUGUCCAAGUCUCCUGGAAAGGAGUAUCAAAGAGGGUGAUAAUCCCGUACUUAACACGACCACCGGUGCUCUGUGAUACGUCUUCUACGAGUCGAGUUGUUUGGGAAUGCAGCUCAAAAUGGGUGGUGAAUUCCAUCUAAAGCUAAAUAUUGGCGAGAGACCGAUAGCGAACAAGUACCGUGAGGGAAAGAUGAAAAGCACUUUGGAAAGAGAGUUAAACAGUACGUGAAAUUGUUGAAAGGGAAACGAUUGAAGUCAGUCGUGUUCUUUGGAUUCAGCCAGUUCUGCUGGUCUACUUCCUUUGAACGGGUCAACAUCAGUUUUGUCCGGUGGAUAAAGGCAGUAGGAAUGUAGCUUCUCCGGAAGUGUUAUAGCCUAUUGUCACAUACACUGGGUGAGACUGAGGACUGCAGCUCGCCUUUAUGGCCGACCUUCGGGUACGUUCGAGCUUAGGAUGUUGACAUAAUGGCUUUAAACGACCCGUCUGGAAACACGGACCA